GAAUUUUGGACAAUGGGCGAAAGCCUGAUCCAGCAAUGCCGCGUGCAGGAUGAAGGCCUUCGGGUUGUAAACUGCUUUUGUACGGAACGACAAGUCUCGGGAUAAUACCCUGGGACCAUGACGGUACCGUAAGACUAAGCACCGGCUAACUACGUGCCAGCAGCCGCGGUAAUACGUAGGGGGCAAGCGUUAUCCGGAUUUACUGGGUGUAAAGGGAGCGUAGGUGGUUCGGUAAGACAGAGGUGAAAUCCCCGGGCUCAACCUGGGAACUGCCUUUGUGACUGCAAGGCUAGAGUACGGCAGAGGGGGGUGGAAUUCCGCGUGUAGCAGUGAAAUGCGUAGAUAUGCGGAGGAACACCGAUGGCGAAGGCAACCCCCUGGGCCUGUACUGACGCUCAUGCACGAAAGCGUGGGGAGCAAACAGG
rnacentral:rRNA from 1 species